GGGGUGAUGCAGAUCUAAGUUUUUGUUUUUUGAGUGUGUGUGUGUUUUUUGAGAGGCGCAGAUCUGAGUGUUGCGAAGCAUAAAAUGGAAAAUCACUGAAUCAAUGUGACCAUGGGUUCGACGGCCCAGUUCGGCCCAUUGCCUCACUUGAAGGAACCUUUUUUUGGCACCAAUAGAGUAAUUGUGCGGCCGGAAAACUUGAGCCUCUUUGUCCA
rnacentral:lncRNA from 1 species